UUGCAUAAGACUUCCACAUAAGACGUCGGGCGUAUCAUGCGCUCAUGGCGCAGCUGUGUAUUAUUGACCUAACAUGGCUGUGACAAAUGUUAUGUUGAGAGAACUCGACAAGUGCUUAAUAUCAAUAUACUAUCAUCAUUUUCCCCGUUUAUCUAUAUAUUUAAGAUCUUUCUUUACUUCCGAAUAUUGAAGUUAACUGUUGACCAUUAAAAUUCAUUUGCAUAACGGUUUCCACUAUUCGUCAGCCGUUUUAAUAAAAAGAAUUACAGUCCCCGUUAAUUCACAAAAUGUAGCCGAAC
rnacentral:lncRNA from 1 species